rnacentral:rRNA from 1 species
GACGAACGCUGGCGGCGUGCUUAACACAUGCAAGUCGAACGGAAAGGCCUGCUUUCCCUUGUGGAUUGCGGGUACUCGAGUGGCGAACGGGUGAGUAACACGUGAGUGAUCUGCCCCCAACUUGGGUAUAAGCCUGGGAAACUGGGUCUAAUUCCCGAUAGGACUGCAGGGUGGUGCCUGUGGUGGAAAACGAUUUUCUAGUGGUUGGGGAUGAGCUCGCGGCCUAUCAGCUUGUUGGUGGGGUAAUGGCCUACCAAGGCGGCGACGGGUAGCCGGCCUGAGAGGGUGGACGGCCACAUUGGGACUGAGAUACGGCCCAGACUCCUACGGGAGGCAGCAGUGGGGAAUAUUGCACAAUGGGCGGAAGCCUGAUGCAGCGACGCCGCGUGGGGGAUGACGGCCUUCGGGUUGUAAACUCCUUUCGACCGCGAGGAAGCCACCUGGUUGGAGGGGUGGUGACGGUAGUGGUAGAAGAAGCACCGGCCAACUACGUG